rnacentral:rRNA from 1 species
GUGCACCAGUCGCGAAUCUCCGGCAAUGGACGCAAGUCUGACCGAGCGACGCCGCGUGCGGGAUGAAGGCCCUUGGGUUGUAAACCGCUGUCAGAGGGGAUGAAAUGCGAGAGGGCUAUCCCUCUCGUUUGACAGAGCCUCAGAGGAAGCACGAGCUAAGUACGUGCCAGCAGCCGCGGUAACACGUACUGUGCGAACGUUAUUCGGAAUCACUGGGCUUAAAGGGUGCGUAGGCGGUUUAGUAAGUAGGGUGUGAAAUGCCAGAGCUCAACUUUGGCACGGCGCUCUAAACUGCUAAACUUGAGUGAGAUAGGGGUGUACGGAACUUCCGGUGGAGCGGUGAAAUGCGUUGAUAUCGGAAGGAACACCGGUGGCGAAAGCGGUACACUGGGUCUUAACUGACGCUGAGGCACGAAAGCCAGGGUAGCGAACGGGAUUAGAUACCCCUGUAGU